UACGGAGGGUGCAAGCGUUAUCCGGAUUUACUGGGCGUAAAGGGCGCGUAGGCGGCCACCGCAAGUCAAUUGUGAAAUCUCCGGGCUUAACUCGGAAAGGUCAACUGAUACUGCGGGGCUAGAGUGCGGAAGGGGCAACUGGAAUUCUCGGUGUAGCGGUGAAAUGCGUAGAUAUCAGGAAGAACACCAAUGGCGAAAGCAGCUCUCUGGGACGGUACUGACGCUGAGACGCGAAAGCGUGGGGAGCGAACAGG
rnacentral:rRNA from 1 species